rnacentral:rRNA from 1 species
UAAUACGGAGGGCGCAAGCGUUGUUCGGAAUCAUUGGGCGUAAAGCGGGUGCAGGCGGUGAAGUCAGUCGGAUGUGAAAUCCCAGGGCCCAACCCUGGAACUGCAUUCGAAACUGCUUCACUAGAGUCCCGGAGGGGAAGGCGGAAUUCCCGGUGUAGAGGUGAAAUUCGUAGAUAUCGGGAGGAACACCAGUGGCGAAGGCGGCCUUCUGGACGGUGACUGACGCUCAGACCCGAAAGCGUGGGGAGCAAACAGGAUUAGAUACCCUGGUAGUCCACGCCGUAAACGUUGAGUGCUCGUCGAUGCGGGUAUUGACCCCUGCAUUGACCAAGCUAACGCAUUAAGCACUCCGCCUGGGGAGUACGGUCGCAAGACUA